rnacentral:misc_RNA from 1 species
CAUUUAUUUGAUUUGAGAUGCCCACAUUAUCAAGCUGUUAGCCAGCAGAUUAUUUUUCAAGCAAACAGUGUUCAGUAGUGAUUAAGACUAUCCAAUUGUGAUAUAGUUAACUAGCUUCUUCUCCAUUACCAACAUAUAUUACAUACAGUCAUUAAUCAAAAUUCAAACUAUCAAGCUUGUGCGAGGGACCCUUACGAUCUGGGUCAUAUUAAAGUAGCUAACAGUACACAAAAUUUGAAAAUCCCCAGUUCAUGAUGUUAGGUCACAUGCUGCUGCUCCUCAUCAAUUUGAGGCGUUGGACAGACCAAACGAAACUUCUACAAAAUCAGAACGUUAUAAAAUUAUGAAUUCUCUCAAACCCAGAAAUUAAAAACCUAUGAAAAUUUGAAAAAUUUCACACACUAACCUCCAUGAUACAUCAUCAGCAAGUAGCCAGUCACCAUCUCUGUCCUGAAAUGCAAGUUUAUAGCUGGUGGAAUUUUCUUGACCUGUCCAAGAACAGGGCAAAAAUUGAAACAGGAACAAAGUUAAUAAUGUUGAAGGUUGAAUUCAAGAAAUUAAAACCCUUUUAGUUAAUUAAGGAAUUAAUUAAUUAUAGUUAUAGAUAUCAUAUAUACACUUACAUAUCCCAAACAUGCCAAGCAAGGUGUGUUUAAGAGCUUGGAAAGAAUCAUAAAGGCUUAGGUCGAUUUUCCUUCCUAUGGCGACUCCCUCUAACUUCACCUUAACGUACAUGGAAUUUGAUGGCCUGCCAUGACAAUCUGGACACCCAUUGUCCACCGUCUGAUUGUUCUCCACUCGAUUUUGUUUAUUCCGGUGGCUAAUCUUCCUCCUCCUGAACUUAAUCGGUGGCCACCCUACAAUUCCGUCACUAUCACCAUCAACGCUGUUGUUCAAGGCUAAGGGGAAGCUCUUCUCAUGAUCUUUAUGUUCAUCAUCAUCAUCUUCCUUGUUAGGCUGGUAAUUCCAAAGCAAAAGAGGCAACGUUCGAGGCACGUUGCUAAUCUCCUCGAAAGCAUCAUAAAAACUACGUUUUUGCUGCUGAUUGCUGCUAAAACCAUCAUCAUCAGAACUUGUUCCUGUAGAGAGCAAUGGACCACCCAAUUGAAGCCUAGCCUGACGAUUCAUCAUCACUUGGCUCGAGCCACCCUCAUCCUUAUUAGGCUCGAAACCAUAGUUAUUUAGGUCCAACCCCUUGAUAGUAUGGGUUGGAAGAGCGAGACCCAGUUGAAGCUCCAUGAUGCAAAGCGAAAAAUCAUCCAACAAGAAGAAAACAAAGAAAUUACCCAAUAAAAUAAACAAAAAGAAGAAGAUCAAGAAAUGGGUGUUUGAAAGAUUGAGGUAUUUGAUCUGUGGAUAUGUUGCAAGAAAGGUAAUUACUAUUUAAUGGAUUGUGCAAGAGAUUAAAAAAAGUCCAAGACAGUAGAGGGAGGAGGAAAGAUCGGGGCGGG